rnacentral:rRNA from 1 species
GACGAGCCUCACAAACGUUAUUCGGAAUUACUGGGCUUAAAGGGUGCGUAGGCGGCGCGGAAAGUUGGGUGUGAAAUCCCUCGGCUCAACCGAGGAACUGCGCCCAAAACUACCGUGCUCGAGGAAGAUAGAGGUGAGCGGAACUUACGGUGGAGCGGUGAAAUGCGUUGAUAUCGUAAGGAACACCCGUGGCGAAAGCGGCUCACUGGGUCUUCUCUGACGCUGAUGCACGAAAGCUAGGGAGCAAACGGG